GUUUUGUAAUGCCGCACAGAUGGAGUCGCGGCAACAGCUAUUAACUAUUUAAACAUUUAGCCCAGGAUAUAUUGUUGAACACUAGAUUAAAGUGUAGUUUUACCCUACCAAAGCCGAUACAUGUGAUGUAUAAAUCUAGCAUGUGUGACUCUGGUUAGGAACAUUAUCACAUUCUGUGUAAGAUGCCUUGUUUUGACAAGUCGUCCAAGGGUUGAAUGUUACAUUAAAAUUAUUAUUAACAAUACUCAAUUAUGGUUUGAUCAUGUUUAACAUAAUUAAGGUUUUUUUUUUGUUUUAGAGCACACAUGACUCAAUAUGGUUGGAAAUCAACUCACUGGACAUAAAUUGAUAUUCCAUAAGAGAUGAAGAGUCAAGAUGUCCGUAAUUUAUCUUUGUAGUAAGACUAUAAAGUUUCAAAGUAUCAAGAGUAAAAAUAUGUUCAAAAAAAAUUUAAAUAUACUGGAAAAGAAUAUAUGAAGAUAAGAACAGACAUGUUUAAAUAAAAAAAGAACAAAAUGUCAUGCCAUUUAAGAAUGAAUUCAGUUUAUGAAUAAAAAAAAUAGUACGCCUCAAUAAUGACGUUUCAAAAAGGGCCAUGAAUCAAGUAUUUUGUCACAACUACACACAUAAAAUUUGCAGUUAUACAGACUUGGCAGCAACACAACAGUAUUAUGUUUAAAGAGUUUUGUUCUUAGUGGACAUUAGACUUGUAAUGACAUUGGAAAUCAGGUUAUAAAUCAAAUAUUGAAGAUAUAUUAAAAAGAAAAUAUUUUCUUAAGGUACCUUAUCUGCACAAUAUGUUUAGAUUAUUUUUCCUAUUUAACAAGUAGAUAA